GAUAUUGUAUUCUUUGUAAGUAAGUUUAUUGUUUCUUUGUCAUUAUAAACGCAAAUAGCGUUCAGCAUCAUCGAUCUUUCACGUGACCUCUGGCCUGGAUUUAAAAUUUUUACCGGUAUUUUCGAGUGCAUGGCGGCACGGAUUCAUUCGUUCGUGCGCUCAGGCUGGUUGCUUCUUUUUCGCUAAAACUAGUUUAUUGCGCUUCGAUGUCACGCGUUAUUUAACCUGGGGUGAAGUGACGUGUUUGCAAGCGGACAUGUAAGCCCGAAAGUUGGGUAUCGGUCGUGAGCCAUUCGGAACACGUCUGCAUCGAAACGGGAGCUGGAUUCUGGUGCGGCUGACAACGGCAAUAACGACAUGCAGUAAUGAGGAUGGCACCAGUAUAAAGCAACACACUCCACACACUAAACAGAAGCUGCUGCCUGCUACAACAAGGCCAUUGUGUGGACAUUGGCUGCUACUACAAGAGUCCAUGCCAAGCAUACCUUGGUCAUCACAGGAGCUCCUAUCCACACCAACAGAAAGGGGCUGGAGCUGAAUUUGCAAGGCUUUUACACCACGAACAAAGAAGCGCAUGCAGAAGAACUUACAUGAGAUAUCAAGUCUGCAGAGCACUGUGUCAAGACUGAAAAGAGCUUCAGCCACCAUUCCACCAGCGCAGACAAAUUGGCUGAGUCAUCCAGGUAACUCAAAAAGGACUUUAUGGAAAUUCUUCGUCUUCAGAUGCGCCUGCAACUUCUGAUCAAGCACGGACGACGUUGGCCAAAAGAGUUCCAUCAGUUUGCCCUUAAUCAGCUUCCUGGCCAUGUCAAUUCCAUUUGUGCCAAGUAUAAUUUUUCUUCUAUAAAUGCAAGCUUUUUCAUUGCCCAUUCUCGUUAGAGAUCAUUCAUCCUCAUCCAAACAUAAAGGUCAACCGAUUCUUCGCUGAUACUUAAUACCAGUCACUGUCUAGUAGCAUAACAUAUCUGUAGCAGUACCUUUUAGUGCAUGUUGUCAUGCACAAUUCCUCUCCUGAAAUAGAUGAAACAUCGACAUGUUUCUUGCAUUAACCUACGCACUGUUUGCUAUGCACCAUUUUACUUUUCUUGAUGUUUUUGGCCUUCAAUGCUUGCAGAGCAGGGUGGCUUCUCUCUUGAAUGCAAGCUUUCUCAUUUUCCAUAUUCCUAGCCUCGUUGAUGGUUGCUCUUCUUCCUCGAUAGCCUGGGUCUUUGCGCAAGCUACACUGAAUGAUAGAUUGCAGAAUCUGGUUUUGCUGCCCCACUUGGUUGUGGUCGCCGUGUUACAUUUCUCGGAUGUGGGGGCCUGCUCAGUUACAUUGGUAAGCAGUCUCUCGAGGUAAGCAUUUGUUCCUGCAGUCCGCACAGCGACAUAGACUCCCAGUGUACACACACCAUAACUGGUGCUCCCCGUUCAUUUUUUCCUGCUGCAGCCAUGGGCAAAUUGUGCUUGUGGCCUACCUCGGCCAUGAUUUGCUCAAAACUGAGACCAGCAUAUGUGCUUACAUGGUUCGAAGUGUAUGAAGUUGAUAGCUGUACGGGGGGAAAUGCCUGCAAAAAUGGCUGCCAAAGGUGAUGCCCACGAAAGCGACUUGUCCAUAUUGAGACAAAGUGGGACACCAAAUGUGAGCCACACAUUAGUGGCCCUCGACAGAAAAGAAACAUGCAGGUUGGAAAGGAGUUAAUGCUAAAAUGUCGGAUAGUCCAUUUCGCUGUGUUGGUUGCGGCAGCAGAUGCCUGCGUCACCUGAUUGCUUCGCAAUGGAAGUUGCUCAUCUUCAACGGCUACUGUCGUUUCAAACAGGUGCGAUGCUCUGUCCAAUCUGUUUGUACUGCUGUUUGUCGCUCGUUACCAGACCACCACAUGUGACGAAGGCAAGCAUUAUGCCUGUAAGUAGGCGGCUGAAUGUAUCCUAAGAGACCCGUGUAUGUGAAUGCUCACUGUUGCCAUAUGGUUUGUAGCCAAUGUAUAAUGUAUUCUCUGAACACUAUGUUGUGAAUGAUUGCCGUUUAUUUUUGCUGUUAUCUCACUUGGUUGUGGUCGCCGUAUUAUGCUUAUCGGAUUUGGGGGCCUGGUCAGUUGCAUUGGAAAACAGUCUCUCGAGGUAAGCAUUUGCUCCUGCUGUCCGCACAGCGACAUAGACUCCCAAUUUACACACAAUGAUUCGUGCUCCCCGUUCAGCCUUUCCUGCUGCAGCCAUGUGCAAAUUGUGCCUGCGGCCUUUCUCAGUCGCAAUUAAGCACGAACGGAGACAAGCAUACGUGCUUACAUGGUCCAACGUGUUUGAAGUUCAUAGCCACAUGGGUGGAAAGGCCCGCAUAAAUGGCUGCCGAAGGUGAUGCCCACGAAACCGACUUGUCCAUAUUGAGACAAAGUGGGGCGCCAAAUGUGAGCCACACAUUAGUGGCCCUCGACAGAAAAGAAACAUGCAGGUUGGAAAGGAGUUAGCGCUAAAAUGCCGGAUAGUCCAUUUCGCUGUGUUGGUUGUGGCAGCAGAUGCCUGCAUCACCUGAUUUCUUCGCAAUGGAAGUUGCUCAUCUUCAACGGCAACUGUCGGUUCAAACAGGUGCGACGCUCUGUCCAAUCUGUUUGUACUGCUGUUUGUCGCUCGUUACCAGACCACCACAUGCGACGAAGGCAAGCAUUAUGCCUGUAAGUAGGCGGCUGAAUGUAUCCAAAGAGACCCGUGUAUGUGAAUGCUCACUGUUGCCAUAUGGUUUGUAGCCAAUGUAUAACGUAUUCUCUGAACACUAUGUGGUGAAUGAUUGCCGUUUAUUUUUGCUGUUAUCUCACUUGGUUACGGUCGCCGUGUUAUGCUUAUCGGAUGUGACGGCCUGGUCAGUUGCACUGGAAAGCAGUUUCUCGAAGUAAGCAUUUGCUCUUGCAAUCUGCACAGCGACAUAGACUCCCAAUUUACACACCGUGAUUCGUGCUCCCCAUUCACGUCCAGCCUUUCCUGCUGCAGCCAUGUGCAAAUUGUGCCUGCGGCCUUUCUCGGCCGCGAUUAAGCACGAACGGAGACCGGCAUACGUGCUUACAUGGUCCGACGUGCGUGAAGUUGGGUGCAAAGGCCCGCAAAAGUGGCUGAUGAAGGUGAUGCCCACGAAAGCGACUUGUCCAUAUUGAGACAAUGUGGGACACCAAGUGCGAGCCACACAUUAGCGGCCUCCGAAAGAAAAGUAACGUGCAGGUUGGAAAGGAGUUAAGGCUAAAAUGCCGGGUAGUCCAUGUCGCUGUGUUGGCUGCGGCAGCAGAUGCCUGGUUCACCCGAUUGUUUCGCAGUGCAAGUUGCUCAUCUUUAACGGCGACUGCCGCUGCAAACAGGCGGGACACUGACCAAUCUGCAUGAGCCGCUGGUUGUCGCUCGUUACUAGACCGCCAUGUGCGACGACGACGGUGAGCCGUUUACGAGCUCGCGUCAAAGAUUCCAGUGUAUCUCGACAUACAAAUUUUAUUUCUGCUAUUGCACGAGAAUGUACAUACACUGCUUGUCUUCUGCCAAUAAAGUCGCACGUUCUGUUCA